GCAUGCUGUCGGGAAGCGCAUCAGUCGUGUUGCCGGGUUCCGGUGUAGGCACUGGUGGUGCUGCCUUUUUGCCUCCACAAGGCGUAGGCGUAGGCGCAUGCGCUCUGAGGCUCUUCGCCUUAGGGGGAGGAGCGCAGGUUUUGCGCAGCAAAACACCCCGGGUACCUCCGGCAGGUAAGCUUCUACCCCUGGCUACUCCCCACCGACCGUGGUCCCACCUGGCGGUGGGUUUUGUAACGGACUUACCUGUCUCAGAGGGCAACACCGCUAUCCUGAGCAUAGCUAACAGAUUCUCGAAAAUGAUUCGUUUGGUGCCUUUAGCAGCCCUGCCCACCGUGCUAGAGACCGCCAGGUCUUCAGACAGUUCGGCCUACCUAAAGAUAUCGAUUCGGACCGAGGCCCUCAGUUCACAUUGCAGGUGUGGAAGGAACUGCUAGGUAGGCUUAACAUCACGGUUAGCCUAAUGUCCAGCUACCACUCUCAGGCUAAUGGGCAGGUAGAAUGGGGUUAACCAGGAACUAGGUAAGUUCCUGUGCCUCUACAGAAAACACCACCCAGGGACGUGGAGUACGUACCUCCCAUGGGCGGAGUACGCACAGAAUUCUCUGUAACACAUGGGAACUGGUCUCACCCCGUUUGAGUGCGUGCUAGGCUACCAGCUGUCUCUCUACCCCUGGAAUGCCCCCGUGUCAGACCAGCCGGCAGUGGAGAGAUGGUGCGGGGAGAGCGGACCUGGGAGGAGACGCACCGAAGACCGAGUAAGGCGAUCGCUGCCUACAAGAGGAAGGCGGACAGAAAACAGGGAAAGACCCCGCAAUACACUAUUGGACAGAAGGUGUGGUUCUCAACCAAGGACGGCCGCGCUGGUGCCACAGGCAAGCUCAAAGCGAGGUAUGAGGGCCCGUAAUCCAUUACUGACCGGGUCAACGAGGUGACCUACAGGGUUGGCCUGACGGGGAGCUUCCUGGGCCUUUCAUCUGUCAGCGCUGAAGCCCGUGAAGGAGGGUCCCCUUGCCGAGGAGGAGGGUUCCUCGGGAGACCCUCCCCCACCCCGGAGAUGGAAGAUGACGCGGCAUAUAGAUUAGGGGUUCUGCUGGACUCCUGUAGGAGAGGGAGGGGCAUCCAGUACCUCAUUUCAUAGGCUGCACCCGCUGAAGCCCGCCCCGAGUCGGAGGGGCCGGCCGCGUUUCAGGGGCCAGGCGGGGUCUUUGGCGGGGGUUCUGUCACAGUAGACGGGUCCCCUACCGGGAGGGACACAUCCCCUCUAGAACAGGACCGUAUCACUUGCCUCCCCCCCUCGCAAUCACCUGUCUUCUGACGGGAGACACCUGCUGCUCAUUAUCACCUCACACCAUUUAUAUUCCUACAGGUUCGGAGGGACAGCGCUGCGCAUUAGCGGACAGGACCACAAGCGUCUGUUGGUGCAGCGCUGCUCCGACCCAGGAGAUUACCUAGACUCGUCAUUGCUUUGUUACAAGACCAUGGAAAAUAAAGAACAUAUUCGUUCGACUUCGCCUUUCACGUCCUCUGUGCUGCCUACAUCACACAUGGGUGCAUUUCUUUGCAUGCACUUGCAGUUUGAUUAUGUAGUACAUCAUGUGCUGAGAGAGAAGAAAGAGGAAGGACGUGAUGACACUCUGAAGACACUUUUGUGCUCAUAUGUAAGAGAAAGAGAGAAGAAUAGGAAGAAGUUUUUCUGCAUGUGAUCAGACUUCCUCUCUGCUGUGUGGACAUUAUGGAGUGGUCCCUUUCAGUGGAGUUCUUCUGAGAGAGUUCUAGAGUUCCAGAUCAUAGUAGUGUGGAGAUUCUCACAGGUAAACUGUAGUUCUGAAGACUGAACCACAGAAGCACUGAAGCUCUGUAGUGUGUACAGCUGUCAGAGCACUCAGUAAACUAGUUCUGUUAAGAUGUGUAGCGUUGUUUCUGCUGUAGUGUGUAGUGGAAUUCAGUAAGAAUGCAGGUGUGUGUUUAUUUGCUACUUGUACUUCAUAUUACUGAAGGCUGCAGUUUGGCAGAGAAUCAGAAGACAGACGACGUCACUGCAUACACAGGAGACUCAGUACUGCUGCCCUGCUCCUGUACUGACCCACACGCCAAACCUGAGAGUUUCACCUGGAGGAAACACAACACAAACAGAAACUCAUGGGACGUGAUCACCAGUGAGAGUGAACAGUACAGAAACAGAGUUCAGCUGGGUACUGCUCACUCUCCAGGAAAUCUCUCUCUACUCAUAUCACACCUGACUGAAGAGGAUAAGGGAUACUACAGGUGUUAUCUUAACCAGUACUAUAAAGACAUCAGACUCACCAUUAAAGGCUGCAGUUUGGCAGAGAAUCAGAAGACAGACGACAUCACUGCAUACACAGGAGACUCAGUACUGCUGCCCUGCUCCUGUACUGAACCACACGCCAAACCUGAGAAUAUUACCUGGCAGAAAUACAACACAAGAAGACAAACAUGGGAUGUGAUCACCAGUGAGAGUGAACAGUACAGAAACAGAGAUCAGCUGGGUACUGCUCACUCUCCAGGAAAUCUCUCUCUACUCAUAUCACACCUGACUGAAGAGGAUAAGGGAGACUACAGGUGUUAUCUUACAAACCAGAAAUAUAAAGACAUCAGACUCACCAUUAAAGGAAUCUCAACAACAGAAUUUACAUCAAGAUUUGAUGUCAAAACAAGUGCAAAGGCUCCAGCUGAUGCUUCCACUACUGACAGUGCAAAGACUCUGACUGACGAUGUCCAAAACCCUGCUGGUGAUCGAUUAUAUAUCCUCAUGACUACUGCUGUGGGAGCUGUCCUCCUCCUGCUGCUGGGUCUCGUGGGGGUCUUGUGCUGGAGAUACAAAGUCCAGAGACAUGGACAAACGAGGCUAAGAAAGGGGCAAACAGAAGAGAAGAGAGAGCAGGAGACACAGAGGCUCCAUAUAAACCUGUAACUCUUACUCCAGUGGACACUGACACAUCAAGUCCAACAGCUUCAACUAAACCUACUACAACAAUGACAUCUCCAAAUGGUUAGAAGUUAUUAAUUUCAUCAACUACUACUGAUGAUCAGUUUAUUGAGUGGAUUUGCCGAUGACGAUCAUUUUAGACAAAACAUCAACAGAGACUACAAACAAUUCUUCACGCAUAAGAG